CACUGAAAUAAAUCAGCUGUGACUUUCCAUGAUGAACUUCCUAAAUUGACUAGAUAGUGGAAAGGCUCUGAGGGUCAUCCGACUGUAGUAUUUUUCAAAGCAAGCAUAAAGCUGGUGAGCCUAGAGUCUCCUCAGUGAGAGUAACAUUGUUGGGGGCCAAGAAAAACUAAGGUUUGUCUUAGUUGGAAGCAGCUAGAUUGUGCAAGGCACUACCAGGUCUUUAUAUUUUUCAUACAAAGUGUCUGGAAAAACUUGGGCAGGGAAGAACAGAAUUGAAGUUGUAGUUCAAUGAGCCAGAGUGUUUCAGCUCACUCUUGACAAUGACAGGAAAGUAGAGGACUAGGAGAUUUUGCAACUAGAAUAGUUUAGGUGAGCAUCCAUGGUUGCUUGGACCAGCAUCGCACUGUGAGGAGGUUUGGAAUAUAUUUUAGAGAUGGAUUUUCUGUCAGUUGUUUUGCCUCAUCCUCCAUUUAACACAAUUCUCUUCUGUGGUCUCCAGCACUGUUGCUCUGGAAUAUGUUAUGGGCAGCAUUUUUCUUUUUUCAGGAGACAAAGGUGUUGGCUCUGAUGGCCAGAGAGAACACAGUGAACCUGGCAAGCUUAUAACUUUCUUUGAGCUUCUGCUUCUACAUCCAAAAUAAUGCGAAAGUUGAACCAAGUAACCCCAUGCAUGCUUCCAGCUUAAACUUUCGAGGUCUUGUAACGCAUAUGUAAGCUGUACUGGACUUGGAUAUGAAUAUAGAUCAAUAAAGAUAUCAGUGGUAGCACAUACUCAAUUAUACUACAGAGGAAGCAUUCAUAGCUAGUAACAGAAUCAAAGUAAAGAGAGUGGAGUAGAGUUCUUAACUUGCUGCAUCUAUUUUAUCUAGUAGUUCUCAUCUUUGAGGCUGUGAAAAGUCAUGAAAUGCACAGCAUUGUUAAUGGUGUGAUUCCCACUUGAUCCAUAUGUCUCAUUUUUCUCAGGCACCUCUUGUGUGGAAUAAAGUCACAUAAUACUUGCUACUUUAUAUCCAAGGCCAAAUAUAAAAACCUUCAGGAAUGAUAGCUAUGAUACAGGCCCUCCUCAUUCAUAUUUUGAAACCAACUCUUGGCGUUCAUAACAGUGGCAUAUCCCUGCAGUCUGGACAGAGUUAGUGAAAUCAUCUGUGGGAGUCCAUCAGAGUCUGUGCAUUGGGUCAUUCCAUCCGAGGUACUCCAAGGUGUGGAAUGUGUUAAUGUUCUCCUCAUCCUGUUGCAGUCCUUUAUGACCUUUGUCAUCCUUGUUCAGAAAGAUGGAAGUAAGAUGUGGUGUUACUUGACAGGGUCACAGAUUUGCUUGCAUGCUCUCUCUCACUCCCCACCUUGUGUAACCAUAUAUGUCACCAACAUCUGUUGACUUUCCAGCUCGUAUUCUGCACCGUAGAUUCUAGGGGCUGCUGCUAUCAGGAUAAAGGCAGGACAUCUGUCCUUGAGGAAAUGAAAGUCUAUUAUGUCAAGAACAGCCACAGACACACAACCAAAUAAAGUGUGGUAUGCACUGUCCAUGUGGAGGUGGGCACAGGAAGCUAAAAAGUCCCAUCAGGACACCAUCUGAUUGUUUCACCCUAUGUUCACGUGAUACCCAGUGCUGGAGGAAUCAGGAAACUCACAACUGCCUUAGGACAUCUUCAACAUGAAAAGAAACCACAGCACUUCCCGGCACCCAUUGAACAAUACACAAAUCUCUCAAGCACUGUUCUCUCCUCUACAGCAUCUUUACUUUUAAUGGAGCAUAGGCUUUCCUAAUGAGAGUAAAGAGUGGCCAGUGCUAGAUGGAGAGUAACAGUGACACAGCCUGCCUUAACUAGGGUUACUAUUGCUGUGAUGAAAGCAACUUGGAGAGGAGAGGGAGUAUUAGUUUCAGACUUCCAAUAUCACUGUUCAUCAUCAAAGGAACUCAGAACAGGACUCAAACAGGGCAGGAACCCGGAGACACGAUCUGAUGCAGAGAACCAUGAAGGGGUGCUGCUUACUAGCUCGCUUACCACUGCUUGCUCAGCCUGUUCUCUUAUAGAACCAGGACCACAAUCCCAGGAAUAGUCCUGCUCACAAUAGGCUGGGGCUACACAUCAAACACUAAUUAGGAAGAUGUUCUAUGGUGUGACUACAGCCCAACCUUAUGGACCUCUCAGUUGGGUGCCCUCCUCUCAGAUGAUUCUAGCCUGUGUCACAUUGACCUUAAACUAUCCAGCAUACUGCCUGAUGUGACUCACGCUUAGAGAGGCUGUAAAGUCCCCAACACACAAUUGCAUCCAUUGGUAAGAAAAUAGGAGUGAAACAAAAUCCUUUUUUUUUUUUUUUUUUUGGAGUUGUAUGUAUUGCUCUUUCAAACUGAUACCAAGUGACUAGGACACCAAUUCUUAACGGGUUGCUUGGACAUAGCUACUUCUAAGUGAAACUGGUGUGUCUUUCUUUUGCCCUAUGGGUAUCCUAAAAAAAAUUACUAGGGCAUCAGUAGUGCUGUGAACAAAAUCUGCAUACAUGAUGAAUGAAUGGCAUCUCCAGUAAAAUGUCACUUGAGUGGAUCCUUGAAAGAUGAGAGGGAAUAGGUUUCAAGCUACAAUAAGAGAAUGAUUUUGAGAAAUGAGGAUGGAAUUCACUUAACAAAUCCAACUGAGACCUACCAUGCUGAGAGCAUGCUACCUAGGUGCUAGAGAUGCUAAUGACAAAGAAAGAUGUAGUCCAGACUCUCAAAAAGUUCAAAGUUAGCUGGUGAAAACAGAGAGUAAACAUCUAAGC
rnacentral:lncRNA from 1 species